GAUGAACGCUGGCGGCGUGCCUAAUACAUGCAAGUCGAGCGAACAGACGAGGAGCUUGCUCCUCUGACGUUAGCGGCGGACGGGUGAGUAACACGUGGAUAACCUACCUAUAAUACUGGGAUAACUUCGGGAAACCGGAGCUAAUACCGGAUAAUAUAUUGAACCGCAUGGUUCAAUAGUGAAAGACGGUUUUGCUGUCACUUAUAGAUGGAUCCGCGCCGCAUUAGCUAGUUGGUAAGGUAACGGCUUACCAAGGCAACGAUGCGUAGCCGACCUGAGAGGGUGAUCGGCCACACUGGAACUGAGACACGGUCCAGACUCUUACGGGAGGCAGCAGUAGGGAAUCUUCCGCAAUGGGCGAAAGCCUGACGGAGCAACGCCGCGUGAGUGAUGAAGGUCUUCGGAUCGUAAAACUCUGUUAUUAGGGAAGAACAAAUGUGUAAGUAACUAUGCACGUCUUGACGGUACCUAAUCAGAAAGCCACGGCUAACUACGUG
rnacentral:rRNA from 1 species